rnacentral:rRNA from 1 species
GGGGGGAACUCGGAGGGUGAGUGACAUUUCGUAAAUUUUGCAAGAAAACCAGUGGAGAAGGCGGUUCAUGGGCCCCAUAUGAACCUUGGGUGCAGAAAGCGUGGGAGCCAACCAGGAUUAGAUCCCUGGUUGUUCCACCCCGUUAAACAAUGAAUGCUAACCGUUGGCGGUUUUACUUGUCAGUGGCGCAGGUAACGCAUUAGGCAUCCCGCCCUGGGGAGUACGGUCGCAAGAUUAAAACUCAAAGGAAUGAACGGGGGCCCGCACAAGCCGGUGGAGCAUGUGGUUCAAUUCGAAGCAACGCGCAGAACCUUACCAGCCCUUGACAUGCCACGACGGUUUCCAGAGAUGAUUCUUCCCCGCAAGGGGCGUGGACACAGGUGCUGCAUGGCUGUCGUCAGCUCGUGUCGUGAGAUGUUGGGUUAAGUCCCGCAACGAGCGCAACCCUCGCCCUUAGUUGCCAUCAUUCAGUUGGGCACUCUAAGGGGACUGCCGGUGAUAAGCCGCGAGGAAGGUGGGGAUGACGUCAAGUCCUCAUGGCCCUUACGGGCUGGGCUACACGCGUGCUACAAUGGCGGUGACAGUGGGAUGCAAUGGAGUAAUCCUGCGCAAAUCUCAAAAAGCCGUCUCAGUUCGGAUUGUGCUCUGCAACUCGAGCACAUGAAGUUGGAAUCGCUAGUAAUCGCAGAUCAGCACGCUGCGGUGAAUACGUUCCCGGGCCUGUACACACCGCCCGUCACACCAUGGGAGUUGGCUUUACCUGAAGACGGUGCGCUAACCGCAAGGAGGCAGCCGGCCACGGUAGGGUCAGCGACUGGGGUGAAGUCGUAACAAGGUAAAUCGAAUUCCCGCGGCC